rnacentral:rRNA from 1 species
UACGUAGGGUGCAAGCGUUGUCCGGAAUUAUUGGGCGUAAAGAGCGUGUAGGCGGUUUGGUAGGUCCGCUGUGAAAACUCGAGGCUCAACCUCGAGACGCCGGUGGAAACCAUCAGGCUAGAGUCCGGAAGAGGAGAGUGGAAUUCCUGGUGUAGCGGUGAAAUGCGCAGAUAUCAGGGAGGAACACCGAGUGGCGAAGGCAGAUCUCUGGGCCCGUAACUGACGCUGAGGAGCGAAAGCAUGGGGAGCGAACAGG